rnacentral:rRNA from 1 species
CGGAGCUUGCUCCACCGGAAAAAGAGGAGUGGCGAACGGGUGAGUAACACGUGGGUAACCUGCCCAUCAGAAGGGGAUAACACUUGGAAACAGGUGCUAAUACCGUAUAACAAUCGAAACCGCAUGGUUUUGAUUUGAAAGGCGCUUUCGGGUGUCGCUGAUGGAUGGACCCGCGGUGCAUUAGCUAGUUGGUGAGGUAACGGCUCACCAAGGCGACGAUGCAUAGCCGACCUGAGAGGGUGAUCGGCCACAUUGGGACUGAGACACGGCCCAAACUCCUACGGGAGGCAGCAGUAGGGAAUCUUCGGCAAUGGACGAAAGUCUGACCGAGCAACGCCGCGUGAGUGAAGAAGGUUUUCGGAUCGUAAAACUCUGUUGUUAGAGAAGAACAAGGAUGAGAGUAACUGUUCAUCCCUUGACGGUAUCUAACCAGAAAGCCACGGCUAACUACGUGCCAGCAGCCGCGGUAAUACGUAGGUGGCAAGCGUUGUCCGGAUUUAUUGGGCGUAAAGCGAGCGCAGGCGGUUUCUUAAGUCUGAUGUGAAAGCCCCCGGCUCAACCGGGGAGGGUCAUUGGAAACUGGGAGACUUGAGUGCAGAAGAGGAGAGUGGAAUUCCAUGUGUAGCGGUGAAAUGCGUAGAUAUAUGGAGGAACACCAGUGGCGAAGGCGGCUCUCUGGUCUGUAACUGACGCUGAGGCUCG